CACGUAGGAGGCGAGCGUUAUCCGGAUUUACUGGGUGUAAAGCGCGUGCAGGCGGUUCGGUAAGUUGGAUGUGAAAGCUCCUGGCUUAACUGGGAGAGGUCGUUCAAUACUGCCGGGCUAGAGGAUGGGAGAGGGAGGUGGAAUUCCGGGUGUAGUGGUGAAAUGCGUAGAUAUCCGGAGGAACACCAGUGGCGAAGGCGGCCUCCUGGCCCAUUUCUGACGCUCAGACGCGAAAGCUAGGGGAGCGAACGGGAUUAGAGACCCCGGUAGUCCUAGCCGUAAACGAUGUGAACUUGGCGUCGGCGGGUUUAAAUCCGUCGGUGCCGCAGCUAACGCGAUAAGUUCACCACCUGAGUACUACGGCCGCAAGGUUAAA
rnacentral:rRNA from 1 species